GUUGCGGAAGUGCAUCAGUAGGUGGCGGAAGGUUGGUUUAAACAAAACAUCACCAGAAGAAGACAACGAACUGAACUUCAGAGUCAGAUCGUGUUUGAAAUGUGGCCGCAAGAUUAGACAUCUGACAUCAAUGGGCGAUGAACAGCAGUUCUCCAUAGCCUUCCACUCUUCCUCGAAAAGGACCUUACUGAUUUUACAAGACAUGUUUUGACUAUGAUGAAGAAGAGAUGUCAGUCGGCCUGUUGACUGUGAUCCCUGAUCUGAGGACUCUAGAGCCAUACCUAACUCACUGCAUUACUGCAAUCUACUGCAAUAAUUUUGGAAGGUACAAUUGUAUUGGAUGAUCUGGAAAAUCCCCCCCAAGAUAUGCCUGCUCUUUGGACUCAUUUAUGCUAUGACAUUAUAGUAUCCUCCAGUACUGAAGGACACCUUUGAUUUCAUUCAAUGGCUGAACCUAGAAUGCAAUCUCUGAAAAAUCUUCUGAUGUAGAAAGAUGUCAUUG